rnacentral:rRNA from 1 species
UGUCAAAGCAUCAUGCUUAACAUGAUAAAGGCAGUAGAAACUACACGACUAGAGUGCGUUCGGGGCAGAGGGAAUUCCUGGUGUAGCGGUGAAAUGCGUAGAGAUCAGGAAGAACACCGGUGGCGAAAGCGCUCUGCUAGGCCGCAACUGACACUGAGGGACGAAAGCUAGGGGAGCGAAUGGGAUUAGAUACCCCCAGUAGUCCUAGCCGUAAACGAUGGAUACUAGGCGUUGAGAGUAUCGACCCUCUCAGUGCCGUAGCUAACGCGUUAAGUAUCCCGCCUGGGGAGUACGCACGCAAGUGUGAAACUCAAAGGAAUUGACGGGGGCCCGCACAAGCGGUGGAGUAUGUGGUUUAAUUCGAUGCAACGCGAAGAACCUUACCAGGGCUUGACAUGUCUGGAACUUCGGUGAAAGCUGAAGGUGCCUUCGGGAGCCAGAACACAGGUGGUGCAUAGCUGUCGUCAGCUCGUGUCGUGAGAUGUUGGGUUAAGUCCCGCAACGAGCGCAACCCUCGUUCUUAGUUGCCAGCAUUUCGGAUGGGCACUCUAGGGAGACUGCCGGUGACAAACCGGAGGAAGGUGGGGAUGACGUCAAGUCAGCAUGCCCCUUACGUCCUGGGCUACACACGUACUACAAUGCUCGAGACAAAGGGCAGCAAGUAUGCGAAUACAAGCAAAUCUCAGAAACUCGGGCUCAGUUCAGAUCGCAGGCUGCAACUCGCCUGCGUGAAGUCGGAAUCGCUAGUAAUUGCAGGUCAGCAUACUGCAGUGAAUUCGUUCCCGGGCCUUGUACACACCGCCCGUCACACCAUGGAAGCUGGUCACGCCCGAAGUCGUUACCCUAACCGUCAAAGGAGGGGGACGCCGAAGGUAGGGCUGAUGACUGGGGUGAAGUCGUAACAAGGUAA